rnacentral:rRNA from 1 species
AUUGGAGGGCAAGUCUGGUGCCAGCAGCCGCGGUAAUUCCAGCUCCAAUAGCGUAUAUUAAAGUUGUUGCAGUUAAAAAGCUCGUAGUUGAACUUUGGGCCUGGGCGGACGGUCUACCUAGGGUAAGCACUGUUGCGGCCGGGUCAUUCCUUCUGGCUAGCCCUCGGGCGAACCAGGACGAUUACUUUGAGGAAAUUAGCGUGUUCAAAGCAGGCCUUUGCUCGGAUAUAUUAGCAUGGAAUAAUAGAAUAGGACGCAUGGUUCUAUUUUGUUGGUUUCUAGGACCAUCGUAAUGAUUAAUAGGGACGGUCGGGGGCAUCAGUAUUCAGUCGUCAGAGGUGAAAUUCUUGGAUUGACUGAAGACUAACUACUGCGAAAGCAUUUGCCAAGGACGUUUUCAUUAAUCAAGAACGAAAGUUAGGGGAUCGAAGAUGAUCAGAUACCGUCGUAGUCUUAACCAUAAACUAUGCCGACUAGGGAUCGG